rnacentral:rRNA from 1 species
CCUACGUGAGGCAGCAGUGGGGAAUAUUGUGCAAUGGGCGAAAGCCUGACGCAGCGACGCCGCGUGAGGGAUGAAGGUCUUCGGAUCGUAAACCUCUGUCAGCAGGGAAGAACGGUCACUGUGCUAAUCAGCAGUGAAUUGACGGUACCUGCAAAGGAAGCACCGGCUAACUCCGUGCCAGCAGCCGCGGUAAUACGGAGGGUGCGAGCGUUAAUCGGAAUUACUGGGCGUAAAGAGCUCGUAGGCGGUAUGUCAAGUCAAGGGUGAAAUCCCCGCGCUCAACGUGGGAACUGCCUUUGAAACUGGCAAACUGGAGUGUGGGAGAGGAUAGUGGAAUGCCAGGUGUAGGAGUGAAAUCCGUAGAUAUCUGGAGGAACAUCAGUGGCGAAGGCGACUAUCUGGCACAUAACUGACGCUGAGGAGCGAAAGCGUGGGUAGCAAACAGGAUUAGAUACCCCAGUAGUC